ACGAACGCUGGCGGCGUGCUUCACACAUGCAAGUCGAACGGAAAGGCCCUGCUUUUGUGGGGUGCUCGAGUGGCGAACGGGUGAGUAACACGUGAGUAACCUGCCCUUGACUUUGGGAUAACUUCAGGAAACUGGGGCUAAUACCGGAUAGGAGCUCCUGCUGCAUGGUGGGGGUUGGAAAGUUUCGGCGGUUGGGGAUGGACUCGCGGCUUAUCAGCUUGUUGGUGGGGUAGUGGCUUACCAAGGCUUUGACGGGUAGCCGGCCUGAGAGGGUGACCGGCCACAUUGGGACUGAGAUACGGCCCAGACUCCUACGGGAGGCAGCAGUGGGGAAUAUUGCACAAUGGGCGGAAGCCUGAUGCAGCAACGCCGCGUGCGGGAUGACGGCCUUCGGGUUGUAGACCGCUUUCGCCUGUGACGAAGCGUGAGUGACGGUAAUGGGUAAAGAAGCACCGGCUAACUACGUG
rnacentral:rRNA from 1 species